rnacentral:rRNA from 1 species
UACAUAGGGAGCAAGCGUUAUCCGGAAUGAUUGGGCGUAAGGCGUCUGUAGGUGGUUCGAAAAGUCUACUGUCAAAUACGUUGGCUCAACCAACGGCAGGCAUUAGAGUACUAUUGAACUAGAGUAUGGUAGAGGUAGAGGGAAUCCCUAGCGUAACAGUGAAAUGUGUAGAUUUUAGGGAGAACACCAGCGGCGAAGGCGCUCUACUGGGCCAUUACUGACACUGAGAGACGAAAGCUAAGGGAGCGAAAGGG